GGGCAAAAGAUUAUUUUUGGUUAAUAGUCAUUAUUAUCUUUUUAUUAAUUUUAAACUUUUUAGGUGAAAUUUUUAUUUUUAUUAUAAUAUAUUUAUUUACAUUCUGUGAAACUUAAGUUAUAAACAAGGAUUAGAUACCCUUUUAUAUUAAGUGUUAAUUUUUUACUUGGGUAGUAUUAGUUAUGUUCUUGAAACCCAAAGAAUUUGGCGGUAUUUUAGUCUUUUCAGAGGAACCUGUUCUGUAAUCGAUAAUCCACGAUUUUAUUGACUCAUGUUUUGUUUUCAGUUUUUAUAUCUCCGUCAUAAGAAUAUUUUUUUAGAAGAAAUUUUCUUAAUUGUUUAAUGCAAUUAUGCCAGGUCAAGGUGAAGCUAAUAUCUGAGUAGAAAUGGGUUACAAUAAAUUUAUUUAUACGGAUUUUUUAAAUUGUAGUAAUUUUGAAGGUGGAUUUGGAAGUAAAAUUUAACUAAUUAUUUUUUUUGAUUUUAGCUCUAAAAUAUGUACACAUCGCCCGUCGCUCUCAUAAUAAGGUGAGAUAAGUCGUAACAUAGUAGAUGUAUCGGAAGAUGUAUCUAGUAAGUUC
rnacentral:rRNA from 1 species